rnacentral:rRNA from 1 species
GGGGGGGGGGGGGGGGGGGGGGGGCGGGGGGGGGGCGGGGGGGGGUGGGGAAGCAGGGGCCCCGGGGGGAGAUUACUGGUGGGCGUGGCGAACGGGUGAGUGACGCGUGAGGAACCUGCCUAUGACAGUGGGCUAGCCUCGGGAAACCGGGAUUAAUACCGCAUCACAUCGUGGCACCACAUGUUUGCACGGGCACAGAUUUAUCGGUCAUAGAUGGGCCCGCGUCUGAUUAGCUCGUUGGUGAGAUAACAGCCCACCACGGCGACGAUCAGUAGCCGGUCUGAGAGGAUGAACGGCCACAGUGGAACUGAGACACGGUCCAAACUCCUACGGGAGGCAGCAGUGGGGAAUAUUGCACAAUGGGGGAAACCCUGAUGCAGCGACGCCGCGUGAACGAAGAAGGUAUUCGUAUCGUAAAGUUCUGUCCUAUGGGAAGAUAAUGACAGUACCAUAGAAGAAAGCUCCGGCUAAAUACGUG